ACAGCCGAGCUCCGACUUUGCCGACUGGGAAGGUCGUUCUUGCUUCCUCAUGGUGAGAGGGGACAAGGAGAGGUAGUUCAAGAGGCGAGCAUUAAUUCAGCUUCACCAGUGUUGAGUGACGUAACAAGAGCCCGUCAUAUUUUAGAAAGGAGCGGCUCAGUUGAGGAAAGAACCCUUAGCCCGGGGCGGGUCCGUUUUCUCCUGACUGGUAGCCUUGGGUUCCUGAGUCCAGCAGACAGGUGGGAGUCCCAAACCAGUUUCUGCAAACAGAUGGCCAUAAUGGUAACAUGAUGUCCUAAUCUUACUUGUUGCUAAACUGAAAACAGUCCCAACCUAGUAAUUCCCAAUGAUAGGCAUUCCCACUAAUUUGCUUUCUUAUUCAAAUUUGGCAAAUAUGUAUUUACAUCUCUUCUGUAGUUAAUUAAAAGCUGAUAAAUUUAUUGCACUCUGAAAGGUUAUCUUGUGUGGUAUUCCUUAGGAGUAUGAAUUGUUUUAUCAUUCAGUGUAGUCAAUCAGCAUUAAAUAUGAUAAAGCUUCACGUUUUGUUUUUGUGUACCCAGCUGUAAAGUCUUCCCCAAGGAGACAAACCAACAUAUAACUAUGAGCUGAUCUCUUUUCCCAUUUUCUUAAAUGUGAUUUCCAUCAAGAGAUCUUCUAUGAUUAAAACCAGAGGAAGUGGAGAAUGUAACUACUUGGUUAAUUAUUUAAUGCAUUAAUUAAAGGAAAAUAUGGAGUGCAUUCUUUGUGUUUGGCGCUGGGGUGGAAGCUAGAUAUGAAAACGAAUGUGACAACCCUUCUAUGGGAGGCAGAUGAAACAAAUUAACUUCAAUACAGUUUUAUAACUAACAAUUGAAGAAUCUAAAAUGGGGUAACACAAAGUUGGAAAUGAUUAAAUUGGGGGAAGGGAGACAGGAAAGAGUUGGGUUUUUCAACCUGUUUUAAAAUAUAAAUGUGAGUUUUCUACAAGUGGUGGGAAGAAAUAGGAAGUAGAGAGCACUUCUGGCAGAAUACAAACGGGUAAGCCAAUUUAAAACUAUUGGUAAAUUGGGAGAACAAAAAGUACCUAUUUGUUCCUUUUGAAUGUGAGUUGAAGUUUCUUCUUCUUAGAUUCUUAUAGCAAUAUUUCUCAAUUGUAGCCCCUGGAGCUUUUAUUGCUAACUCACUGGAGUACUUGUUAAAAACGCAGAUUCCAAAAACCCACUCAACUCCAACACUGAACUGGCUGCCAUGCAGUACUACAAACUAAGUAGCUUAAACUAUAGAAAUUUGUGUCUCACAAUUACAGAGAUCAAGGCAUCAGCAGGGCUAUGCUUCCCCUAAAGACCCUAAGGAGGGAUUUAUUCAGACCUACCUUCUAGCUUCUAAUAGUUCCUUGGUUUGUGUCAACAUAACUUCAUUCUUUACAAGAUAUUCUCCCUGCAAGAGUGUCUUAAGUCCAAGGUUCCCCUUUUUAUAACACCAACCCUAUUCCAGUAUGUCCUCAUCCUAAUUUAACUAAUUAAGUCAGCAGUAUCCUAUUUCCAAGUAGGUCAGAUUCUUAUAUACAAGGGUUUAGGACUUCUUCAUGUGAAUUUAGAAAGGACACAGUUCAACCCAUCACAUCUGCUGAAUCAUAACAUGGGAAGGAAAGUGAGUUCAGGAACAUGCAUUUCUAUGAAAGAUUAUCAGAUGAUUUUUAUGCCUUCUGAACUUUGAGAACUAUUUUACUGCAUAAUAGUUCUUAUGAUUUUCGGGAGGAAUAAGACUAUGU
rnacentral:lncRNA from 1 species